rnacentral:rRNA from 1 species
AUACGGAGGAUCCGAGCGUUAUCCGGAUUUAUUGGGUUUAAAGGGUGCGCAGGCGGGAGAUUAAGUCGGCGGUGAAAUUUUGCAGCUCAACUGUAAAAGCGCCUUUGCAACCGGGUUCCUUGGGUGUAGAUGAAGUAGGCGGGAUUUGUGGUGUAGCGGUGAAAUGCAUAGAUAUCACGAGGAACUCCGAUUGCGCAGGCAGCUUACUAAACUACUACUGACGCUCAGGCACGAAGGCGUGGGGAUCAAACAGGAUUAGAUACCCUGGUAGUCCACGCAGUAAACGAUGAUUACUAGCUGUUUGCGAUACAAUGUAAGCGGCUGAGCGAAAGCGUUAAGUAAUCCACCUGGGGAGUACAUUCGCAAGAAUGAAACUCAAAUGAAUUGGCGGGG